rnacentral:piRNA from 1 species
UUGUAAUUAAAAGAUUUACUGAUGAGCUGC